rnacentral:rRNA from 1 species
GAUGAACGCUGACGGAAUGCUUAAUACAUGCAAGUCGAGCGAAAGGUCGAGAAUUUUGUUUCUCUGAUGUUGCCGACGGACGGGUGACUAAUAAAUAGCUAGCCUCCCAAUUAGACUGAGCUUAUUUAAGCGAAUCGGAGUACAUAAUAGUAUAUAUUUAGAACAGCCUAUUUUUAUAGUAACUAUAGGUCUUGUUGUCAAUCUUAGCUGGCUCCUAGCUGCAUUAGCUAGUUGGUAAGGUAACGGCUUACCAAGGCAACGAUGCAUAGCCGACCUGAGAGGGUGAUCAGCCACACUGGAACUGAGACACGGUCCAGACUCCUACGGGAGGCAGCAGUAGGGAAUCUUCCGCAAUGGGCGAAAGCCUGACGGAGCAACGCCGCGUGAGUGAUGAAGGUCUUCGGAUCGUAAAACUCUGUUAUUAGGGAAGAACAGAUGUGUAAGUAACUGUGCACAUCUUGACGGUACCUAAUCAGAAAGCCACGGCUAACUACGUG